UAUUGGUUUUACGGACUGAGAUAAUGGUUAACAGAGACAAACGGGGGCAUUUGUAUGGCCCCGUGAGAGGUGAAAUUCUUGGACCGUGGCCAGACAAACUACAGCGAAAGCAUUUGCCAAGAAUGUCUUCAUUAAUCAAGAACGAAAGUCAGAGGUUCGAAGGCGAUCAGAUACCGCCCUAGUUCUGACCGUAAACGAUGCCAACUAGCGAUCCGCCGAUGGAAAUUAUAUUGCCUUGGUGGGGAGCUUCCCGGAAACGAAAGUCUUCCGGUUCCGGGGGAAGUAUGGUUGCAAAGCUGAAACUUAAAGGAAUUGACGGAAGGGCACCACCAGGAGUGGAGCCUGCGGCUUAAUUUGACUCAACACGGGGAAACUCACCCGGCCCGGACACUGUGAGGAUUGACAGAUUGAUAGCUUUUUCAUGAUUCAGUGGAUGGUGGUGCAUGGCCGUUCUUAGUUCGUGGAGUGAUUUGUCUGGUUUAUUCCGAUAACGAGCGAGACUCUAACCUACUAAAUAGCUGGUACAUACUCUUAGUGUAUACAGCUUCUUAGAGGGAUUUGCGGUGUUCAGCCGAAAGAAAUUGAGCAAUAACAGGUCUGUGAUGCCCUUAGAUGUCCGGGGCUGCACGCGCGCUACACUGGCAAAAUCAACGUGCUUGUCCUACCCCGAAAGGGGCGGGUAAACCAUUGAAAAUUUGCCGUGAUUGGGAUCGGAAAUUGCAAUUAUUUUCCGUGAACGAGGAAUUCCAAGUAAGUGUGAGUCAUCAGCUCGCGUUGAUUACGUCCCUGCCCUUUGUACACACCGCCCGUCGCUGCCCGGGACUGAGCCAUUUCGAGAAAUUUGGGGACCGUUGAUUUAAUUUUUCUAAAUUACUUUGAUGGAAACCAAUUUAAUCGCAGUGGCUUGAACCGGGCAAAAGUCGUAACAAGGUAGCUGUAGGUGAACCUGCUGCUG
rnacentral:rRNA from 1 species